GCGGUUUUCUAGGUUGUCGUCAGCUCGUGCCGUGAGGUGUUCGGUUAAGUCCUGUAACGAGCGCAACCCUCGUCGCUAGUUGAUUUCUCUAGCGAGACUGCCCCGCACAACGGGGAGGAAGGUGGGGAUGACGUCAAGUCAGCAUGGCCCUUAUGUCUUGGGCUACACACACGCUACAAUGGAUGGUACAGUAGGUAGCGAAAGAGCGAUCUGGAGCUAAUCCCUAAAAUCAUCCUCAGUUCGGAUUGUAGGCUGAAACCCGCCUGCAUGAAGUUGGAGUUGCUAGUAACCGUGGGUCAGCACACUACGGUGAAUACGUUCUCGGGCCUUGUACACACCGCCCGUCACGUCAUGAAAGUUGGUAACACCUGAAGUCGAUGGGUUAACCCGGUUUACCGGGGAGCAGUCGCCGAAGGUGGGGCUGAUGAUUGGGACGAAGUCGUAACAAGGAAACCGUA
rnacentral:rRNA from 1 species